rnacentral:lncRNA from 1 species
UUCCGUACUGAUCAUUUGACUUGCCUUUUUCCAACUUGAAAUAGUUUUUUGUCUUUCUUUCCCACAGACUGCCAUUGCCAACAGUGGAGGGGACAAGGCAAUGGAAUUUGAUAAGAAUGAGGUGGUAACAAUGAACAACAGUUCAAUCACCCUCUAUAAAUGCCAAAAUCUGACAAUGAACUUCAUUUACAUUGAUGCUACACAGCAGAAGGCUGGAACUGAGUCUAAUGGUAAACAACCCCCAGUUAAGGAGAGAUGUUCCCAUUACAUUGUCACAGAGAUGAGGAAUGAGGUUGUGACAACUGCACCUUUGAAUUCAACUAUCAUCAAAGAUGGAGACAAUCCUGAUUCAAACCAUAGUGACACUGAUUUGAUCUGGCAAAUCAUUGGUGAGUGUUUAAGCAAAUCUAUCACCACAGCUUCCUCUGUAUGAGAAAAUAACAAGUAAAUCUGACCUCAAAAUGGUGCUACCAAGAUCAACUACUGUUAGAAGGUUAUUUUAAAACCUUUUCAUUUGUGUGAAUAUGUCAUCAUCUGAUGACUACAUUCUGUUUUUCAGUUGGUAUUGUUGUUGCUGUCGUGCUGGUCAUUGCUGUUCUGCUCUGUGUGUUUAAAGCUUGGAGAGACAAACAGUGGUGAGUAUCCUAUAUAACGGUUUUUGUGUUUGUGAAGGGAGCUCUUUAAGUCAAUUAGAAUUGUUG